rnacentral:sRNA from 1 species
UAUAGACGCGUUAGCGCGGGUGUCAAUUC